rnacentral:misc_RNA from 1 species
GAUGAAGAACGUAGCGAAAUGCGAUACGUAAUGUGAAUUGCAGAAUUCAGUGAAUCAUCGAGUCUUUGAACGCACAUUGCGCCCCCUGGUAUUCCGGGGGGCAUGCCUGUCCGAGCGUCAUUGCUGCCCUCAAGCACGGCUUGUGUGUUGGGCCUCCGUCCUCCUCCCGGGGGACGGGCCCGAAAGGCAGCGGCGGCACCGCGUCCGGUCCUCGAGCGUAUGGGGCUUCGUCACCCGCUCUUGUAGGCCCGGCCGGCGCUUGCCGACACAUCAAUCUUUUUUCCAGGUUUACCUCGGAUCAGGUAGGGAUACCCGCUGAACUUAAGCAUAUCAAUAAGCGGAGA